AUACGGAGGGUGCGCGCGUUACUCGGAGUCACUGGGCGUAAAGCGUCCGUAGGCGGUCGGGUAAGUCGGGUGUGAAAGCCCCGGGCUCAACCUGGGAAGUGCACCCGAUACUGCUCGACUCGAGUGCGGGAGAGGAUGGCGGAAUUCCCGGUGUAGCGGUGAAAUGCGUAGAGAUCGGGAGGAACACCAGUGGCGAAGGCGGCCAUCUGGCCCGCAACUGACGCUGAGGGACGAAAGCGUGGGGAGCAAACAGGAUUAGAAACCCUUGUAGUCC
rnacentral:rRNA from 1 species